rnacentral:rRNA from 1 species
ACGAACGCUGGCGGCGUGCUUAACACGUGCAAGUCGAACGGUGAAGCGCCUUCCUUUUUGGUGGGUGUGGAUGAGUGGCGAACGGGUGAGUAACACGUGAGUAACCUGCCCCCUUCUUCUGGAUAACCGCAUGAAAGUGUGGCUAAUACGGGAUAUUCUGGGUCUGUCGCAUGAUGGGUCUGUGAAAGAUAUUGUUUCUGUGGGGGAUGGGCUCGCGGCCUAUCAGCUUGUUGGUGGGGUGAUGGCCUACCAAGGCGGUGACGGGUAGCCUGCCUGAGAGGGUGGACGGUCACAAUGGGACUGAGACACGGCACAGACUCAUACGGAAGGCAGCAGUAGGGAAUGUUGGACAAUGGGAGCAAGCCUGAUGCAGCGACGCAGCGUGAGGGAUGGAGGCCUUCGGGUUGUGAACAUCUUUCGACAGUGAAGCAGGCCUGCCUCGUUUGUGGGUGGGUUGACGGUAGCUGGAUAAGAAGCGCCGGGUAGCUACGUG